AGAACGAACGCUGGCGGCAUGCCUAACACAUGCAAGUCGAACGAGACCUUCGGGUCUAGUGGCGCACGGGUGCGUAACGCGUGGGAAUCUGCCCUUAGGUACGGAAUAACAGUGAGAAAUUACUGCUAAUACCGUAUGAUGUCUUCGGACCAAAGAUUUAUCGCCUAGGGAUGAGCCCGCGUUGGAUUAGCUAGUUGGUGGGGUAAAGGCCUACCAAGGCGACGAUCCAUAGCUGGUCUGAGAGGAUGAUCAGCCACACUGGGACUGAGACACGGCCCAGACUCCUACGGGAGGCAGCAGUGGGGAAUAUUGGACAAUGGGCGAAAGCCUGAUCCAGCAAUGCCGCGUGAGUGAAGAAGGCCUUCGGGUUGUAAAGCUCUUUUACCGGAGAUAAUGACUGUACCGGGAGAAUAAGCCCGGCUAACCUCCGCGCCAGCAGCCGC
rnacentral:rRNA from 1 species